CUUCAUUCCAGAAUAUUAAGGAGUUUUCUGAGAAGAAAGGAAGCAUGGUGAAGCCCAACUUUCACUGCCCUCCAGAGGUCUGCCCAUGUGCCUUUCAAAGGAAUGCUGUUUAACCAGGUUGUCCAAACACUUGUUUCAGUGGAAUUGACUAGAAAAUCAAUAAUCCAAUUAUGCAGAAUUAUACUUUCUCAAAAAAUGGUGGUGUGCUCUGGCAUGUACUCAUAA
rnacentral:lncRNA from 1 species